rnacentral:rRNA from 1 species
CGAGUGAAGAGGGAAGAGCCCAAGAUUGAAAGCUGGCGUCUUCGGCGUCCGCAUUGUAAUCUCAAGAAGUGUUUUCCGCUUCGGACCAAGCCUAAGUCCCUUGGAAAAGGGCAUCAUAGAGGGUGAUAAUCCCGUACAUGGCUUGGAGCGCCCGAAGCUUUGUGAUACGCUUUCUAAGAGUCGAGUUGUUUGGGAAUGCAGCUCAAAAUGGGUGGUAAAUGCCAUCUAAGGCUAAAUAUUGGGGAGAGACCGAUAGCGAACAAGUACAGUGAUGGAAAGAUGAAAAGAACUUUGAAAAGAGAGUUAAACAGUACGUGAAAUUGCCAAAAGGGAAGGGUAGGAGGUCAGAGAUGCGGCCUGGGAUUCAGCCUUGCUUUUGCUUGGUGUUUUUCCCAGAUUGCAGGCCAACGUCGGUUUUGGGCACUGGAGAAGGGUAGGAGGAACGUGGCACCUCUCGGGGUGUGUUAUAGCCUCCUACUGGAUACAGCGACCGAGACCGAGGACAGCAGCGUACUCGCAAGAGCGGGCCUUCGGGCACCUUUACGCUUAGG